rnacentral:rRNA from 1 species
GAUGAACGCUAGCGACAGGCCUAACACAUGCAAGUCGAGGGGCAGCAUGGAACUUAGCUUGCUAAGUUUCGAUGGCGACCGGCGCACGGGUGAGUAACACGUAUCCAACCUACCGUUUACUACGGGAUAGCCUUCUGAAAAGGAGAUUAAUACCGUAUGGCAUUCUAAAGUUUCAUGACAUUAGAAUUAAAGGUUUACCGGUAAUCGAUGGGGAUGCGUUCCAUUAGAUAGUAGGCGGGGUAACGGCCCACCUAGUCAACGAUGGAUAGGGGUUCUGAGAGGAAGGUCCCCCACAUUGGAACUGAGACACGGUCCAAACUCCUACGGGAGGCAGCAGUGAGGAAUAUUGGUCAAUGGGCGCGAGCCUGAACCAGCCAAGUAGCGUGAAGGAUGACUGCCCUAUGGGUUGUAAACUUCUUUUAUAAAGGAAUAAAGUGGUCCACGUGUGGAUUUUUGAUUGUACUUUAUGAAUAAGGAUCGGCUAACUCCGUGCCAGCAGCCGGGUAAGCAUACUCGUA